GGGGGCGUGGCGAAACUGGCAAACGCGCUGGAUUCCUAAUCCAGUAUCUCCUAGCCGGGAUUUGUGAGUUCGAGUCUCACCGUCCCCA
rnacentral:tRNA from 1 species